ACCCUUUGGAAUGGAAUGUUGGAGUCCCAGGCUGAGCCCGGACGCUGAAGGGUUAGGCCAUCCCAAGGAUGGGUGCUGCACCUGAGAGUGGAAGGCACCUUUCCCGAGUAAGAGAAGAGACAGGCAAGGAAGUGUAGAAGCCUAACUACAUACACUUGAACCACCAUUUACAAAAAAUGACCACACUCCUAUUGCCUGAGGCUAAAAGCCCGCUGGGUAACAGGAGCAACCCGCUGGGGUCUGGGGACGCCCUGGAGGAGGAUAGCAGCCCAGCCACUGGUGAAUGAGCCCGGUCUCCUGCUCCUUGCUGGAGCCGGUGCAUCUGCACUCACAGAGGCAGUAGCUGUUCAGGCGCAUCCACCACCAGGGCUGAGAGUCUCUGCGCAGCGAUCACCAGCUUCUCCCUUUUCGCCAGUGGAGCUCCAUCAGGACUGUCCCGGGGAAUCCGAAGAGAAGUCCCCUCACCUCCACUGACACUGGGCGCCUCCUCCACAGCAAGCAGAGCCCCCUGGGUGUCCUCUCCCUCCUGGUGCCCCGCCCUCCCAGGGCGCCUGGGUCCCCGCGCCUGCACAAGGGGGGAGGACCUGCCAGCAAGCCCUCAUCGCCGCAGCUGGAGCGACAGCCACCGCUGGGCUCAGAGACACUUAGUGGGGAGGAGAGGGAGGGGGCGAAGGCAGGGCGGGAGAUGCGGGGCGGGGGGAUGGAGCCAAGAGGAGGAAAUAAAUAAAUAAAACAAUAACCUCCGCGCCAAUAAGAGCGAGGGAGAGAGAAAGACGCGGCCAGAGAGCCACCGGUGCCAGUCCGCUCGCCUGUGACAGGCUCUCGGCGCGCGCGUGUGUGUGCGUGAGUGUGUAUUCGCUGGGACUGGAGCUGGAAAGUUCAAACUAAACGUGUUGCUCUCCCGGGUGGCCGAGGCUCGCCACAGAGGCUCUGCCCAACUUCUCUGGGCCAAGUGACUGGCAGUGCCCGGCGCCCUUGGCGAGUCGCAGGCUGCUCGGCCCGGUGCCCGGGCGCAGCGGCAGCAGCGUCUCCGGUCAACCUGGGAAGGAGCCCCACGACCAGGGCUGGACGCUCGCCCCAACAGAUCGCAGACUCUCGGGGUCCUGGGCUAGCACCCUGGCAACCAGAAAAAGAGUCAGCAAGCUGCGCAAAGUUCCCAGUAUGCACAGUAGAAGCCUCAGAAUUAAGCACAGUGAUAAUAGAAACUAAAGGAAAAAGAUAAAAAGAACCUAUGGAUAUUCCUCUAGCGUGACAUUUAUUCUGGACGAAACAGACAUUUGGUCAACUUACAGAUGUGGAUAAAUGUUGUUAGAGUUGAUUUAAUUUUUGAGAUGCUUCCAUCAGUGGACAAUAUGUGACAUCCUUAAUUUCACACUUUUAGAACCUGAUUGGUUGGCUGUACUCACCAUAUGCUCUUCCCUUGUGCUCCAAGCCUCACCUCAUUGCUUUAGUGUUGGUUUGUAUUUACCAGGCCAUGGACAAAAGAGAAAAGGAGAUAGCUUAAAAUCAAGAAUUCAGACAAGCACAUUCAACAGUUAUCAUCUGGGACAGUGGAGGAACUGACCUGGCUGCUAUUCCAUUUUAAAUAUCCCAUCUGUACCAUUGCAUCCCUGAAGUAAAGUAUAAUGAGAGUGUGGUGUCACAGUCAAAACAGUGGAAGUGUCACGAAGCUGAAAGGAUUGACUUCAUCUGUUUUAUGUGAAGAGUAUGCUGCUAAGAUAAGCACUAUGACCAAAGCAACCUGAGCAUGUAGGGGUUUAAUUCAACCUAUACUUUAUACUCAGCCCAUCAUCAAGGACACUCAAGGACCAUCUAUUUGUGAUUAGGAUAAGAGAGAAAGGCAAGGCAGAGGUUUUGAGGAGGCCAAGUCAUGUUCAUUAAAUGUGGAUACACUGGUCUGCCUUCCAUCAAAUCACGACGUGAACAACUGACAUCUUAAUAGUUGAACUUAUUUGAAGAAAUUUACAAUACAUGUGAUAUGUCAUCCGUACCUGUAUCAUGAGUGACUCUGAAAUGUCUUCCCCAAAAGUUUGCAGCCUGCCUGCUCUCUACCUUCCAAACUCAACUAAAACAAACUACUGCUACCUAACAAAAGUCUACGCAUUUGUUCAAUAAGUAGACAGUUGUUCUCAGAAAAACCCAUUUCCUUUUGCAUUUUUUUUAACCAAAGUGUUUUACAGUUUUCUGCCUAUUGCACCCAAAUACUUUAGGAGCUUUCCUUCGAUAAAACCAUGUGUCUGGCUAAUUCUGUUGGGAUUUAUGAGGUGCACUAAGGGACCAUAACUCAAGUGCAACUGUAUGUAUGUACACAUGACUCAGCCUUUACAAUGGGACAGUUAGGUCAACAAACCACUCAAGCACAAUGACACUGAUGCUGUAAUGAAAAGACAUACUGGUAUCCUGGCAAACCCUGAAAUCAAUUUUUUUUGUUUUGUUGUUUUGUUUUGUUUUGUUUUUUUGCUUCCACUUAACUUUAAUGCUUCAGAACCCAUCCCAACAAAUGUCAUCUUCUAUCUUCCAUUCUCCAAAGCAACCCUCAAAUAAAAUCUGCCCCAAGAUCUGAGGAUCCAUUUGACAUUUUGUGGAUUAUUCCGAGGGUUUUUCUUGGAGUGAAUGACAUCUGUAAUCGGCUAUCAUCAGUUAUCCUUUGCCCUAGUCCUUGGAACUAGAAUAACCGUAUUCUUGACAUGGAACUGGAUCUAGUAGUUAUUGGUUCUGAGAGCUGUCACAUUUAAGAAAAUGUGACAGUAUGUACAUUCUUCUGUCCCAGAAGUUUCAAAAAUUCAGCCUCAUUUAUAUCCUAAAAAUAAUCUCCACAAUCAUAGCUCUUAUAAUAAGCAAUAAUUAAAUAUUGUAGUUAUGCCUUAAGGUACUUUCUUAGAACAAUAAGGACUAAGUAUGAGGCGUGGGAGGACACGAAUCAGCCUCCUUUGUUCUGAUCUACAAUCUUUCUCGAGAGACUUGCUUGGCUAAACAGUGCUAAACAGUGCAUUUCUCAGCAUCAUAGGAAUGGAGGGACAAAUUUUUCACAAAUUUGACUGUAUCCCAGAGAUACCUAGCUUUACCUCCAAAUUCUCAGAUUGCAGCUCACUUUAGCUCCAUUCUAAUACUUACUAAACAUUACCACUUAAAUUCUUUUUUCUUUUCUUUCUUUGGCUACCACCUAUCUUUUGGUGAGCAGGAGCCUGGUGCUUCCUGCAUUUGAGAUAAAUGCUCACUUGCUGAAUGCAUCUACCUGACCCCAAGCCCCACCCCCAUCUCUCUCUCUCUCUCUCUCUCUCUCUCUCUCUCUCUCUCUCUCUCUCUCUCUCUCUCUCUCUCUCUCCCUCUCCCUCUCUCUCUCUCUCUCCUUGUCCUCUCUCACUCUCUCUCUUUCUCAAGUAUGCAAGCACGUGUGCCACCCUAUUCUUCAUAUUCACAAAAGGCUAUUGUUUAUUAGGAACUGUUUCUUAUUCCCUCCCUAAUGUUUACCUCUGAAGAAAAGAACAGUGAUAUCUUGAACUUGAGUUCACUUCAUUUUUUUUUAUUAUUAUUCCUUGGCUUUCUUUUCUCAUUUAGAGUUAAAUAACAACACCUAGAGUUAAUGCUAAUCCUGCACAGUAGCUUUACAAAGGGAAUUUUAAUAUCUGUGUGUAAGAUAAUUCUAUGUGAAUCAGAUAAUUACCAAUUUUAAUUUUGUGAAUUAAUUUCCAUUCCAAAUCAGUUCUUCAUGUAACAAUAACAUAGAUCAUUGACAAGCUGUAUGAAGUGCAGAGAUACACAAGGUCUAGGAAGGAAACUGGCAAAUGACGUGGUUUUUGUUUUCUGUUUUGUUUUUGUUUUUGUUUUGGGGUGGUGUUUUAAUUCUAAGGGAAAGUUUUCUGAACCCAAAGUAAAUAUUUUCAGUUAUCAUAAAGUGUGCGCCAACAUAUUUAUACUAGAAAAUAAAACAUAUAUGUUUGGCUAAAAAGUUUUAUUAAAAAUCUUAAGUGUAGCAUGAACAUAUUUUUUUAUAUAUAAAGGAAAAGUUUUUAUAAAGGCAAGUUGUGCUAAACUUGCUGGCAUUAUAUUCUUUUUGUUUUAUAAUCUGAUUUAGUCAUCCUUUGAGGUGUGCUUUUGGCUGUUCCUACGUAAUUGAUAGCACAAUAUUUUUUAAAUAAUUUUUUUAAUGUUUUCAAAUACUAUUACUGUAUCUCUAAAAUAAAAGGUAAAUAUCUUCUGUGUUGUGUUUCUUUUGCCUUUGAUCUCUUAGAAUUUGAUUUUACUAUGUUAUUUUGCCAUCACUCUUGUUUGUAGAUUUUACUUCUAGUUUCUGAAUGUAUCUUAUUCACAAAAUUGUAUACUCAGGAUUGGAAGAGCCUCUUCAGUUUGUGAUCAAUAGAAUGAGAUAAAAUCCAUCAAACUCUCACCUUUCAGCUCCAUUAAAUUGUGGAGCCUCCAUAGUUAAUGGAUUCUGAAACCAAAAGAUAGGAUUAAUGCCAACCUGUAGAAUAAUAAGGAUUAAAGAUAAUACCUGUACAGGAACAGAAAGAGUGUUGGCUGUAUAAUAAGCCAUGCCUAUUACCCGUAAGAUUUUUAUCUGAGUAGUGUGUGUGAAUGGCAUUUUAUGGCGUAGAGUUCUGGUAUAAUGGGUCCUUUGCAUUUUUAUAUACCCUUGAAGGAAGGGGGAGUUGGAAGGAUGAUUGCAACUUCAUGCAAAACAAGUUAAAGUAAAGAUGAUGACUGUGAAUCUUUAAAAGCAUGCCUUAAAAAUCCCAAAAGCCAGGGAGCAAGUCUGGACAAUAAUCACUACCGACCUGGUUCUUGCAUUAUAAUAAUGAAAGAAACUGUUCUUUCAGAGAAGAACUUUGCUCAGGACUAAAAUUGAAAUACAAAUUCACAUAAAAUGAACUUAUUAAUGUGGUAACGGAUGCUAAUUAAUACAGAAACUUGAAUUGCCCUUAUUAUGAGGUGAUUAUUGAUGCUACUCAAAUCUUACAAAAGUAUAAUAAUAAAGAAACAAGUAGCCCAAUUUGAGGUAAAACUAAAAAGAGAACAUUUUGCAUACAAAUUGUAGAAUUGCUAAUAUGUUCAAUAGGAUCACUCCUUUAUAUUAGGAAUAAAAAUCUUUCUUGAAAAUUCACAAAAAAGAACAUCUGCAAUAAUAAGGUCUGCAAAUAUGCCUCAAAGACAUCCAACAUGUACAGAAGGCAGAAACUGUUCAUGAAAUGAUUUUUUAAGACUUUUAAUCAUGCUAACAUUUUAUGGUUAAAUAAGUUAAAUAGUCAUGAAUAUAAAAUUGGAAGGUCUGAUAAAGGAAGCAACUAAGAUGAUAUGUCUUUCAAGAUGAAUACAUUUCACCCCUUUGUGGAGAUAUAACUGUAGAGAUGAAGCUCUCUAUAUAUCAAUGUGCUCAUUCUGAAAAUGCUAAGAGACAUUACUUCAAAAGAGAAGCAGCCUUUGUGCUACUAAUUAGUAAUAGUUACCAAUGCCAGAAGCAAUUAAAGAAGGGAUUAAUAGUGGCAAGAAAACACUUCAUUGAUCAUCCUUAAUUAUAAACUGUCAGGCACACUUCAGAUUAAAAAAAAAAAUUUCCAUGAAUCCAUGUGGCUUGUAGACAUGUGUUACUGUGUCUUCCUAUCUUUAUUUCUUCAGGAUAUUGAAGCAGGUGAAACUGGAGAAUUAAAACUGAAAGAGAUGCUUCUACUAGUUUUUUAUUCUGAAGGGGUUUUUUGUUUUGUUUGUUUUUUGGUUUUGGGGUUUUUUUUUUGUUUGUUUGUUUUGUUUUGUUUUGCCAAUAGUAAAAUGAGACAACAUAAUUUAGUAAAAAGCCCUUAGCUGUGAAGAAGUAAAACGUUUGAAUUUUGCCGGCAGUGGUGGCGCACGCCUUUAAUCCCAGCCCUUGGGAAGCAGAGGCAAGUGGAUUUCUGAGUUCAAGGCCAACCUGAUCUACAGAGUGAGUUCCAGGAGAGCCAGGGCUACACAGAGAAACCCUGUCACGAAAAAACAAACAAAACAAAACAAAACAAAAAAAAGUUUGAAUUUUAAAAGACAGAGAACCUAGUCUGAGCAGUUGUGCCAAGGAAAAUUGUCAAGUUAAGCAUAUAUAUAGAGAGAAAAUGUCUGUUAAAACUAAAAUUAUAGAUAAUUUUUAAUACUUUAAAUUUUGGCACACACACACACACA
rnacentral:lncRNA from 1 species